CAUUAUAAAAUUGAGAAAGGAAAUGGUGAAUAUGUCAAAGCGACAACCACCUGACCAUAGAGCAAACAACAGCCGAAGGCAACCAAUGGGUCUUCAAUGUAGCGAGAAUUCCCGCACCCGUAGGUGUCCUUCAGCUGGCCCCUAAAAUAUGCAUAAUAGUACAGUGAUAAUGGACGUCAUACUAAACUCCGAAUUAUACACAAGAAACUAAAAUUUAAAAUCAUACAAGACUAACAAAGGCCAGAGGCUCCUGACUUGGGACAGGCGCAAAUUGCGGCGGGGUUAAACAUGUUUAUGAGAUCUCAACCCUCCCCCUAUACCUCUAGCAAAUGUAGAAAAGUAAAAGAGUAACAAUACGCACAUUAAAAUUCAGUUCAAGAGAAGUCCGAGUCUGAUGUCAAAAGAUGUAACAAAAGAAAAUAAAUAAAAUGACAAUAAUACAUAAAUAACAACAGACUACUAGCAGUUAACUGACAUGCCAGCUCCAGACCUCCAUUAAACUGAUUGAAAGAUUAUGUCUUCAUCAUAUGAAUAUCAG
rnacentral:lncRNA from 1 species